GGGGAAGCUUGCUUCCGCCGACGACCGGCGCACGGGUGCGGAACGCGUAUGGAACCUGCCCCUGUCAGGGAAAUAGCCCAGAGAAAUUUGGAUUAAUGCCCCAUGGUAUCGGGACGACACAUGUCGCCCCGAUUAAAGAUUUAUCGGACAGGGAUGGCCAUGCGUACCAUUAGUCAGAUGGUGGGGUAACGGCUCACCAUAACUACGAUGGUUAGGGGCCCUGAGAGGGGGAUCCCCCACACUGGUACUGAGACACGGACCAGACUCCUACGGGAGGCAGCAGUGAGGAAUAUUGGACAAUGGGCGGGAGCCUGAUCCAGCCAUGCCGCGUGCAGGAUGACUGCCCUAUGGGUUGUAAACUGCUUUUAUACGGGAAGAAACCCGCCUACGUGUAGGCGGCUGACGGUACCGUAAGAAUAAGGACCGGCUAACUCCGUGCCAGCAGCCGCGGUAAUACGGAGGGUCCGAGCGUUAUCCGGAAUCAUUGGGUUUAAAGGGUCCGUAGGCGGGCCAUUAAGUCAGGGGUGAAAGUCUGCAGCUCAACUGUAGAAUUGCCUUUGAUACUGGUGGUCUUGAGUCGUUGUGGAGUGGCCGGAACAUGUGGUGUAGCGGUGAAAUGCAUAGAUAUCACAUAGAACACCGAUCGCGAAGGCAGGUCACUAACAACGUACUGACGCUGAUGGACGAAAGCGUGGGUAGCGAACGGGAUUAGAUACCCCGGUAGUCCACGCCGUAAACGAUGGAUACUAGCUGUCGGGACCUUGGUCUCGGCGGCCAAGCGAAAGUGAUAAGUAUCCCACCUGGGGGAGUACGUUCGCAAGAAUGAGACUCAAAGGAAUUGACGGGGGCCCGCACA
rnacentral:rRNA from 1 species